CGUGGGGGACAACCAUCCGAAAGGAUGGCUAACACCGCAUGAGUUCUACGGAAGAAAGAGGGGGACCUGCUUGCAGGCCUCUCGCGAGCGGAGCGGCCGAUGACUGAUUAGCCGGUUGGUGAGGUAACGGCUCACCAAAGCAACGAUCAGUAGCUGGUCUGAGAGGACGACCAGCCACACUGGGACUGAGACACGGCCCAGACUCCUACGGGAGGCAGCAGUGGGGAAUUUUGGACAAUGGGCGCAAGCCUGAUCCAGCUACUCCGCGUGUGGGAUGACGGCCCUCGGGUUGUAAACCACUUUAGUAGAGAACGAAAAGGAGCUAUCGAAUAAAUAGCUCUGCUGACGGUACUCUAAGAAUAAGCACCGGCUAACUACGUGCCAGCAGCCGCGGUAAUACGUAGGGUGCGAGUGUUAAUCGGAAUUACUGGGCGUAAAGGGUGUGCAGGCGGCUGAGUAAGACAGAUGUGAAAUCCCCGGGCUUAACCUGGGAACCGCAUAUGUGACUGCUUGGCUAGAGUGCGUCAGAGGGAGGUGGAAUUCCACGUGUAGCAGUGAAAUGCGUAGAUAUGUGGAAGAACACCGAUGGCGAAGGCAGCCUCCUGGGACGCAACUGACGCUCAUACACGAAAGCGUGGGGAGCAAACGGGAUUAGAUACCCUGGUAGUCCACGCCCUAAACGAUGUCAACUAGUUGUUGGGGAUUAAAAUUCUCAGUAACGCAGCCA
rnacentral:rRNA from 1 species